AACACGCGGAUAACAUGCCCUUGGGUGGGGGAUAACCUCGGGAAACUGAGAAUAAUACCCCAUAGAUCUAGAAAGCUGGAAUGCUUUUAGAUCGAAAACUCCGGUGCCCAAGGAUUGGUCUGCGGCGUAUCAGGUUGUAGUGGGUGUAACGGACCCCCUAGCCUAUGACGCGUAAGGGCCUUGAGAGAGGGAGCCCUGAGAUGGACUCUGAGACAUGAGUCCAGGCCCUACGGGGCGCAGCAGUCGCGAAAACUUCACAAUGGGGGAAACCCCGAUGAGGGAAUUCCAAGUGCCAGCACAUUGUGUUGGCUGUUCUCUGGUCUAAAAAACCGGAGAAGUAAGGGCCGGGUAAGACGGGUGCCAGCCGCCGCGGUAAUACCCGCGGCCCAAGUGGUGGUCGAUAUUAUUGAGCCUAAAACGUCCGUAGCCGGUCUUGUAAAUCCUUGGGUAAAUCGACCAGCUUAACUGUUCGAAGUCCGGGGAGACUGCAAGACUUGGGAUCGGGAGAGGUGAGAGGUACUUCUGGGGUAGGGGUAAAAUCCUGUAAUCCUAGAAGGACCACCGGUGGCGAAGGCGUCUCACUAGAACGAAUCCGACGGUGAGGGACGAAGCCCUGGGGCGCAAACGGGAUUAGAUACCCCGG
rnacentral:rRNA from 1 species